UGCUCAUCCAGAGGGACUGAGGGAACGGCCCGUUGACGUCCCGGCAACCUUCUCGCCCGGCUGUCGUCGACAGGCCCCGGCGGGACAGGUGCCAAUUCCGGCCCGUGGCGCGACCGCGCCACGGGGAAGAUGAGGA
rfam:Streptomyces aureofaciens strain ATCC 10762 contig_23, whole genome shotgun sequence.